rnacentral:rRNA from 1 species
AGUUUGAUCAUGGCUCAGGACGAACGCUGGCGGCGUGCUUAACACAUGCAAGUCGAACGAUGAACCACUUCGGUGGGGAUUAGUGGCGAACGGGUGAGUAACACGUGGGCAAUCUGCCCUGCACUCUGGGACAAGCCCUGGAAACGGGGUCUAAUACCGGAUACUGACCCUCGCAGGCAUCUGCGAGGUUCGAAAGCUCCGGCGGUGCAGGAUGAGCCCGCGGCCUAUCAGCUUGUUGGUGAGGUAAUGGCUCACCAAGGCGACGACGGGUAGCCGGCCUGAGAGGGCGACCGGCCACACUGGGACUGAGACACGGCCCAGACUCCUACGGGAGGCAGCAGUGGGGAAUAUUGCACAAUGGGCGAAAGCCUGAUGCAGCGACGCCGCGUGAGGGAUGACGGCCUUCGGGUUGUAAACCUCUUUCAGCAGGGAAGAAGCGA